UUAGGAAUUUUGGGCAAUGGGCGAAAGCCUGACCCAGCAACGCCGCGUGGGUGAUGAAGGCCCUCGGGUCGUAAAGCCCUUUUCCCAGGGAAGAUAGUGACGGUACCUGGGGAAUCAGCCCCGGCUAACUACGUGCCAGCAGCCGCGGUAAUACGUAGGGGGCAAGCGUUGUCCGGAUUUAUUGGGCGUAAAGCGCUCGCAGGUGGUCCGUCGCGUCGUGCGUGAAAGCCCCCGGCUCAACUGGGGAGUGUCGUGCGAUACGGGCGGACUGGAGGCCAGUAGGGGGAUGCGGAAUUCCGGGUGUAGUGGUGGAAUGCGUAGAGAUCCGGAGGAACACCAGCGGCGAAGGCGGCAUCCUGGACUGGUCCUGACACUCAUGAGCGAAAGCGUGGGGAGCGAUC
rnacentral:rRNA from 1 species